rnacentral:rRNA from 1 species
UCGAAGGUAGCAUAAUCAGUAGUCUUUUAAUUGAAGGCUGGAAUGAAUGGUUGGACGAAAUAUUAACUGUUUCAUAAAAAUUUUUAAUAAAAUUUUAUUUUUUAGUAAAAAAGCUAAAAUUUAUUUAAAAGACGAGAAGACCCUAUAAAUCUUUAUAUUAUUAUUUAUUAUAAUUUUUUGGAUUUAUUUUGUUAUAAUUUUUAAUUAUAUUUUAUUGGGGUGAUAUUAAAAUUUAAUAAACUUUUAAUUUUAAAAAUUCAUUAAUUUAUGUAUAAUUGAUCCGUUAAUAACGAUUAAUAAUUUAAGUUACUUUAGGGAUAACAGCGUAAUUUUUUUGGAGAGUUCAUAUCGAUAAAAAAGAUUGCGACCUCGAUGUUGGAUUAA